CAGCAGCCGCGGUAAUACAGAGGGUGCGAGCGUUAAUCUGAUUUACCGGGCGUAAAGCGUGCGUAGGCGGCUUCUUAAGUCGGAUGUGAAAUCCCUGAGCUUAACUUAGGAAUUGCAUUCGAUACUGGGAAGCUAGAGUAUGGGAGAGGAUGGUAGAAUUCCAGGUGUAGCGGUGAAAUGCGUAGAGAUCUGGAGGAAUACCGAUGGCGAAGGCAGCCAUCUGGCCUAAUACUGACGCUGAGGUACGAAAGCAUGGGGAGCAAACAGGAUUAGAUACCCCCGUAGUCCCUGUCUCUUAUAC
rnacentral:rRNA from 1 species